GAUGAACGCUGGCGGCGUGCCUAACACAUGCAAGUCGAGCGGACGCACCAGAAGCUUGCUUCUCUGACGUUACCGGCGGACGGGCGAGUAACACGUCGAUACCCUACCUAUAAGACUGGGUUUCCUACGGGAAACCGGUGCCAAUACCGGAUAAUAUUUUCAACCGUUUGUUUCAAAAGUUAAAGACGGUCUUGCUGUCACCUCUAGAUAGAUCCGCGAUGGAUUAGCUAGUUGGUAAGGUAACGGUUAACCAAAGCAACGAUGCAUAGCGGACCUGCGAGGAGGAUCGGCCACACUAGAACUGAGACACGAACCAGACUCCUACGGGAGGGAGCAGUAGGGAAACGUACGCAAUGGGCGGAAGCAUGACGGAGACACGCCACGUGAGUGGUGAAGGUCUUCGGAUCGUAAAGCUCAUUUGUUAGGGAAGAAGAUAUGUGUAAGUAACUGUGGACAUCUUGACGGUACCUAAUCAGAAAGCCACGGCUAACUACGUG
rnacentral:rRNA from 1 species